AGUUAAUAAACCGUCUAGAGAUUUGUACUGUUUAGCCAUUAUUCCUCCACUGCAAACUCCGGUGUUCCGGAGUCAUCUGUGGAAGGCAGCUGGGUGCUUGACUUUCUCCAACCACUUUGUGUACAGGAGGUUCGGUGACGUUUACACAGCGACGCUUACCAAUUUUAUAGUUGUUUAGGAGUAUUAUUUUUAACCAAUGUCUGUAAAAAAGGAAGGAUCGGU